rnacentral:lncRNA from 1 species
CAGUGCCUUCCUGAAGGUCCCCACUAGGAUUGAGAAACAGAAAGGCAGUGCCCCUGGGGCUGUUGGCUACAUGCCCUGUGCCAGGUUGUGGUCAGCUUCACUUGCCCUUCUCUUUUGAGGAGACCCUGCCACAGCAGAGUCUGACAUGAGGAAACUUCAGGCAUGGAAAUCAGGAAUAGAAGUGCUUCUGCUUUCUGGUGUUACUGCUUGGGGCGGCAUCGUCCUGAUCCCACGCCUCUCGUUUGCAUUCUGCUCACCAGCAGUUAUUGUGCUAACAAGGCAGAGGCUGUGGCCAGCACCCAAGGGCUCCUGGGUGGGUCCUUUUCUAAGGGUAAGCAGUUUUAACCCUUGAGCUGGAAGCUUUUGGAUUUCAUGCAUCGGUAACAUUUAAAUUAAAAAAAAAUCAGAGAAC